UCCAGAAGCUUCCCUGUUCGGGGAAAAAAAAAAAGAAACAGAGGAGACACAGGGAGACAGAGAGAGCAAUAGACGGAGGAAAACGAGAGGCCGUUAUUGACAACCUUCUCGAGCUUCGUCGAGGUCAUCGGAGCUUCUGUUUUUCUAACUCUUGAGCUUCUAAUUGAUUUACCAGCUUCUGGCCAUUGCCGAUUUGAUGUUCCUCUUGCUUGUUCUUGUUGGUUUGUCUUCGCUAUGAUGUUGAGGAGCUCGCGAAUGAGAGAGGCAUCGAAUGGGGAAAAGCUUUGCUGCAUCGAAUUAGGUUGCAUGAUCGCUUAGAUGAGCUAGGAGCUAGACUAGCCGCACAGGAGAACUUUUCAGACAUCAGGGAUCAGCUCGGAGGAUUAGGGUGAGAAGAAAUUUGACCUGAACAUACCCCAGUUUCAGUAUUCAAAAGUCUAGACUGCUUCGGUUUUCUAAGUGCUUUUCAAAGAUAAUAUUAUUUUUAUUGAGGGGCUUUUGGGGGUUCUUUGCUCUGCUCGAGCAGAAGAAACGAAAAGAUAGAAGAGAGAACAGGAGGAAGCGGGAGGAAUCUGCAGGAGCAUGAGAAGUUCCGUGCAUGUUCGUGCAAACCCGGCACUGCGGCCACCUUCUCCCUUCCGACCUCUCUUUCUCAGAUGAACUAGGAGCUAGACUAGCAGCACAUGAGAGAGCUUUUGAUAUCGGAGAUCAGCUUGGAGGACUAGGUAGAAACGUUAGUUAUUUUAUAUGUAUUUUUUUGUAUAGAAUGUAUUUGAAUAUGUUACGACCUGAAAUUUUUGUUUAGUUUGGUUUAGUAAUUGAUUUUGAAAAGAAAAUUACUCUCUUUUGAGAUGUAUAUACAUAUUAGAGCUUACCAUAUUGGUUUUAUAUUUUUGAGAGUUUAUGGAAAGCCAGUUUUAGGUGAAUAGUUAUGUGGUAAUAGAUAUUGAGGAAAUAUAGAGAAAAUUUAGCUAAAAUUUCGGGUUGUGACAACCAA